rnacentral:rRNA from 1 species
UGGGGAAUAUUGGACAAUGGGCGCAAGCCUGAUCCAGCCAUGCCGCGUGAGUGAUGAAGGCCUUAGGGUUGUAAAGCUCUUUUAGCGGGGAAGAUAAUGACGGUACCGGGAGAAGAAGCUGCGGCUAACUACGUGCCAGCAGCCGCGGUAAUACGUAGGCAGCAAGCGUUGUUCGGAGUUACUGGGCGUAAAGAGUGCGUAGGCGGUUUUCUAAGUUCGGUGUGAAAUCUCCCGGCUUAACUGGGAGGGUGCGCCGAAGACUGGGAAGCUGGAGUGUGGGAAAGGCAGGCGGAAUACCUGGUGUAGCGGUGAAAUGCGUAGAUAUCAGGAGGAACACCGGCGGUGUAGACGGCUUGCUAGACCAUAACUGACGCUGAGGCACGAAAGCGUGGGUAGCAAACA